UGGGGAAUAUUGCACAAUGGAGGGAACUCUGAUGCAGCGACGCCGCGUGAGUGAUGAAGGAAUUCGUUUCGUAAAACUCUGUUCUAUGGGAAGAAAAGGACUGUACCAUAGGAGAAAGCUCCGGCUAAAUACGUGCCAGCAGCCGCGGUAAUACGUAUGGAGCGAGCGUUGUCCGGAAUUAUUGGGCGUAAAGGGUGCGCAGGCGGCUUUACAAGUUGGAUGUGAAAUAUUGUGGCUCAACCACAAACGUGCAUCCAAAACUGCAAAGCUUGAGUUAAGGAGAGGUAAGUGGAAUUCCUGGUGUGGCGGUGGAAUGCGUAGAAAUCAGGAGAAAUACCGGUGGCGAAGGCGACUUACUGGACUUAAACUGACGCUCAGGCACGAAAGCGUGGGGAGCAAACAGG
rnacentral:rRNA from 1 species